rnacentral:rRNA from 1 species
GAUCAUGGCUCAGGAUGAACGCUAGCUACAGGCUUAACACAUGCAAGUCGAGGGGCAGCAUGGUCUUAGCUUGCUAAGGCUGAUGGCGACCGGCGCACGGGUGAGUAACACGUAUCCAACCUGCCGUCUACUCUUGGCCAGCCUUCUGAAAGGAAGAUUAAUUCAGGAUGGGAUCAUGAGUUCACAUGUCCGCAUGAUUAAAGGUAUUUUUCGGUAGAGGAUGGGG